UAGUAAAACACAGAGACGUGUGUACACUUUCCCCUGGGAGUCUGCUGCCCAGUGGUUGCAAACGGCAGCCUCCUUGGUAGUGUAUGCAGACUGUUGUCUAUACGGGCUGCCCUAAGAGGCCUUAGAGACAAUU
rfam:Mesocricetus auratus contig172229, whole genome shotgun sequence.